rnacentral:tRNA from 1 species
GGGCUUGUGGCUCAGCGGUAGAGCGCUUGCCUAGCAUGUAUGAGGCACUGGGUUCGAUUCUCAGCACCA